UGGUUAACGUGACUGUAACUCUAGAAUGACUCAUCAUCUUGAUAACCAGCUUAGCGUGACCUCCUUGGCAAAGAUUGAGAGUAAAAACUAGUCCGCACCACCUCUGAAUAAUUGAGAACUUUGUCUGGAUUAGCUUCCUUGUUGGCAUCAACAAUGAAGAGGUACAGGUUUGGUUUAUUAUAAAAGGAAAUGAUUGUUAGCAGCGAUACAUUCCAACUCUGAUCUCGCUCUGCGCUACACGAAGACAACAAGAAGACUGGAAGACGACAGCAAUGACUUCAGGAAUUCUCCCACCGUGGUUCGUUUUCCUAAAAGUGAAGAACAAUGUGGAGUGUACACCUGUUCAAAGCUUUAACGUGAAUAUAUCAAACAACAUGACCCUUCUUCAGGCACUUGUGUUGUGUGGAGAACAAAACUCUGACUUUACCUCUUGACUUCAAGCUUUCCAUGGAUAACGUGGUGUACCUGCAGUUUAACCCCUUCACUCCUGAAGACUGAAAAUCCUCUCAGCAGAGAAAUGACUCUGAGGUUUUUUCCACGUUGGGUCAAAUAAAAUUCUGAAGAAAUCUGAAUUUCUUUUCAACCGUGCAGAUUUGACGAAAACCAGAUGCAUCAAGAAAAAGGAAUAAUAAAGAGAAAGCUUCUUUCUGUCUCAUUUGUUUCGUUUCUGUCUGUUGACUCGAGUUUUGUACAACUACUGAGUCC